rnacentral:rRNA from 1 species
GGGGGGCAACCCCCUGACUGAGUGGCGAAAGGGGCAGUAAGGCGUGGGUAACCUACCCCCGGGACCGGCACAGCUCUCCUAACGGGGAGGUAAUACCGGGCAACGUGACUGCGGGGCAUCUCGCGGUCACCAGAUGAAUCUCGCCCGGGGAGGGGCUCACGUGAUAUUAGCUAGUUGGCGGGGUAACGGCCCACCAAGGCGAAGAUGUCUAGCGGGUGUGCGAGCACGACCCGCGCCACUGGCACUGAGACACUGGCCAGACUCCUACGGGAGGCUGCAGUCGAGGAUCUUCGGCAAUGGGCGCAAGCCUGACCGAGCGACGCCGCGUGUGCGACGAAGGCCUUCGGGUUGUAAAGCACUGUCGAGGGGGAGGAAAGCCGCAAGGCCUGACCUAUCCCUGGAGGAAGCACGGGCUAAGUUCGUGCCAGCAGCCGCGGUAAGACGAACCGUGCGAACGUU